rnacentral:rRNA from 1 species
GUGGGCAGCCACUCCGCGAGGAGCAGCUAAUCCCAAAAAGCCGUCUCAGUUCGGAUUGGGCUCUGCAACUCGAGCCCAUGAAGUUGGAAUCGCUAGUAAUCGCGGAUCAGCAUGCCGCGGUGAAUACGUUCCCAGGCCUUGUACACACCGCCCGUCACGUCACGAAAGUCGGCAACACCCGAAGCCGGUGGCCCAACCCUUGUGGAGGGAGCCGUCGAAGGU